rnacentral:rRNA from 1 species
GACGAACGCUGGCGGCGUGCUUAACACAUGCAAGUCGAACGGAAAGGCCCUGCUUUUGUGGGGUGCUCGAGUGGCGAACGGGUGAGUAACACGUGUGUAACCUGCCCUUGACUUUGGGAUAACUUCAGGAAACUGGGGCUAAUACCGGAUAGGAGCUCCUGCUGCAUGGGGGGGGGUGGAAAGUUUCGGCGGUUGGGGAUGGACUCGCGGCUUAUGAGCUUGUUGGUGGGGUAGUGGCUUACCAAGGCUUUGACGGGUAGCCGGCCUGAGAGGGUGGCCGGCGUCAUGGGGACUGAGAUAGGGCCCAGACUCCUACGGGAGGCAGAGGGGGGAAAUAUGGCACAGUGGGCGGAAGCGUGAUGCGGAGACGCCGCGUGCGGGAUGCCGGCCUUCGGGUUGUAAACCGCUUUCGCCUGUGACGAAGCGUGAGUGACGGUAAUGGGUAAAGAAGCACCGGCUAACUACGUG